rnacentral:pre_miRNA from 1 species
AACAUUCAUUGCUGUCGGUGGGUUUUAGUUUGUAUCAACUCACUGAUCAAUGAAUGCAAA